GACAGAGGGUGCAAACGUUGUUCGGAAUUACUGGGCGUAAAGCGUGUGUAGGCGGCCGCGAAAGUCGGAUGUGAAAGCCCUGGGCUCAACUCAGGAAGUGCACCCGAUACUGCGUGGCUCGAGUACCGGAGAGGUUGGUGGAAUUCUCGGUGUAGAGGUGAAAUUCGUAGAUAUCGAGAGGAACACAUGUGGCGAAGGCGGCCAACUGGACGAGUACUGACGCUGAGGUGCGAAAGCGUGGGAAGCAAACAGG
rnacentral:rRNA from 1 species